AAUGUAUUCCCUCCGUCCCAAAAUUCUUGUCUUAGAUUUGUCUAGAUACGGAUGUAUCUGAGAUACAUCCGUAUCUAGACAAAUCUAAGACAAGAAUUUUGGGACGGAGGGAGUACGAU
rfam:Triticum aestivum genome assembly, contig: Triticum_aestivum_CS42_TGACv1_scaffold_409115_5BL